GACGAACGCUGGCGGCGCGUCUAAGACAUGCUAGUCGAGCGAGAAAGUCCCCUUCGGGGGAUGAUUAAAGCGGCGAACCGGUGAGUAACACGUACUUAACGUACCCUCGAGUUCGGAAUAGCAGUGCGAAAGCGCUGGUAAUACCGGAUACGUUGGAUUAAUCACACGAUUUAUUCAAGAAAGCCUUCGGGCGCUCGUGGAUCGGGGUGCGGCCCAUUAGCUUGUUGGUAGGGUAAUGGCCUACCAAGGCUACGAUGGUUAGCUGGUCUGAGAGGAUGAUCAGCCACACUGGAACUGACACACGGUCCAGACUCCUACGGGAGGCAGCAGUGGGGAAUUUUGCGCAAUGGGGGAAACCCUGACGCAGCAACGCCGCGUGAGUGAUGAAGGCUCUCGGGUCGUAAAGCUCUGUCAAGUGGGAAGAACAUGAAAAAUGUUAAUAUCAUUUUUUACUGACGGUACCACUAAAGGAAGCACCGGCUAACUCCGUGCCAGCAGCCGCGGUAAUACGGGGGGUGCAAGCGUUAUUCGGAAUUAUUGGGCGUAAAGGGCGCGUAGGCGGUCAUUUAAGUCAGAUGUGAAAGCCCGGGGCUUAACCCCGGAAGUGCAUUUGAAACUGAAGGACUUGAGUAUGGGAGAGGGAAGUGGAAUUCCUGGUGUAGAGGUGAAAUUCGUAGAUAUCAGGAGGAACACCGGUGGCGAAGGCGAGCUUCUGGCCAUAAACUGACGCUGAGGCGCGAAAGCGUGGGGAGCGAACAGGAUUAGAUACCCUGGUAGUCCACGCUGUAAACGAUGUACACUGGGUGUUGGUUCUAUGAAGGAUCAGUGCCGUAGCUAACGCGAUAAGUGUACCGCCUGGGGAGUAUGCCCGCAAGGGUGAAACUCAAAGGAAUUGACGGGGGCCCGCACAAGCGGUGGAGCAUGUGGUUUAAUUCGAUGAUACGCGGGAAACCUUACCAGGGCUUGACAUGUGCAUGACGGUCUGUGAGAGCAGGCUUUCUCUUAUGAGACGUGCAUACAGGUGCUGCAUGGUUGUCGUCAGCUCGUGUCGUGAGAUGUUGGGUUAAGUCCCGCAACGAGCGCAACCUCUACUGUCUGUUGCCAACAUUAAGUUGGGGACUCGGACGGAACUGCCGGUGACAAACCGGAGGAAGGUGGGGAUGACGUCAAAUCCUCAUGGCCCUUAUGUCCUGGGCUACACACGUGCUACAAUGGUCGGUACAGAGCGUUGCGAAACGGCGACGUUAAGCCAAUCGCUAUAAAGCCGGCCUUAAGUUCGGAUUGGAGUCUGAAACUCGACUCCAUGAAGCUGGAAUCGCUAGUAAUCGCGCAUCAGAACGGCGCGGUGAAUACGUUCUCGGGCCUUGUACACACCGCCCGUCACACCACCCGAGUUGGGGGUACCCAAAGUCACUUGUCUAACCGGCAACGGAAGACGGUGCCGAAGGUAUGCCUGGUAAGGGGGGUG
rnacentral:rRNA from 1 species